rnacentral:rRNA from 1 species
GAAUUGACGGGGGCCCGCACAAGCAGUGGAGUAUGUGGUUUAAUUCGAAGCAACGCGAAGAACCUUACCAGGGCUUGACAUCCCUCUGCACGGUGUAGAGAUACACCUUCCCUUCGGGGCAGGGGAGACAGGUGGUGCAUGGUUGUCGUCAGCUCGUGUCGUGAGAUGUUGGGUUAAGUCCCGCAACGAGCGCAACCCUUGUCGUUAGUUGCCAGCACUUUGGGUGGGCACUCUAACGAGACUGCCGGUGACAAAUCGGAGGAAGGUGGGGAUGACGUCAAAUCAUCAUGCCCCUUAUGUCCUGGGCUACACACGUGCUACAAUGGCGACUACAGAGGGAAGCAAAGCCGCGAGGUGGAGCAAAUCCCCAAAAGUCGUCCCAGUUCGGAUUGCAGGCUGCAACUCGCCUGCAUGAAGUCGGAAUUGCUAGUAAUGGCAGGUCAGCACACUGCCGUGAAUACGUUCCCGGGCCUUGUACACACCG